rnacentral:rRNA from 1 species
AUUGAACGCUGGCGGCAUGCCUUACACAUGCAAGUCGAACGGUAACGCGGGGCAACCUGGCGACGAGUGGCGAACGGGUGAGUAAUGCAUCGGAACGUGCCCAGUUGUGGGGGAUAACUGCUCGAAAGAGCAGCUAAUACCGCAUACGACCUGAGGGUGAAAGCGGGGGAUCGCAAGACCUCGCGCAAUUGGAGCGGCCGAUGUCGGAUUAGCUAGUUGGUGGGGUAAAGGCUCACCAAGGCAACGAUCCGUAGCUGGUCUGAGAGGACGACCAGCCACAUGGGGACUGGGACACGGCCCAGACUCCUACGGGAGGCAGCAGUGGGGAAUUUUGGACAAUGGGCGCAAGCCUGAUCCAGCCAUGCCGCGUGCGGGAAGAAGGCCUUCGGGUUGUAAACCGCUUUUGUCAGGGAAGAAAUCUUCUGGGCUAAUACCCUGGGAGGAUGACGGUACCUGAAGAAUAAGCACCGGCUAACUACGUGCCAGCAGCCGCGGUAACAC